CAUGGCAGGACGCGCGAUCACGUUUGUCUUUAGUUUGCUGGCGUUUUUUUCAAACGCUCUAACAGCAGUGGUCCAAACACAGCAGACUGUGCUGGCAGCAGUGGGAGAAGAUGCUGAAGUCAGCUGUCAGCUCUUGAAGACUAAAGACGUCCUUCAGGUCACAUGGCAGAAAAUCUCUCCUGAUGUGGAGACAAAUGUUGCCACCUACAGCAAGUACUAUGGUCAGAGAGUGAAUGAUGGCUUUACAGAUAAAGUUGGGUUUAUAUACACUGGACUACAGAACUGCUCCAUAGUCAUCAGGAAUGUGACAUAUGAGGAUGAAGCCUUCUAUCACUGUCUGUUUAACACUUAUCCUGAAGGCUCUCUGACAGGGAAACCCUACCUCCAAGUUUAUAAGCUGCAUGAACCUGUUGUUGAUGUCAGAGAGUCAAACUCUACUGAAGAGUGGGUUGUUUCCUGUUCAGCCACUGGUCGACCUGCUCCCACUGUAACACUCAGUGUCUCACAAGAAGACCUCAACUUCUCACAGUACAACACUGUCAGUGUGGCCAACACCAACGCUACAUUCACUGUCACCACUACAGCUGUGCUCUCAGGUUCACGUAAACACAGCACACAGGUGGGAUGUGCAGCACGAGUGCUCUCUGCUCCUCACAGAGAGGUGAUGGUGACGAUUCCUGAGGUCCAGCAGACGUCUGAUCAUGAAUAUGAUUCCACCGUGAUAAUUGUAUCAGCUGUAGUACCGGUGUUGGUCCUUGGUUGUGUAAUUCUGCUCGUCACUGUUCGUCUUAAAGAAAAAGACAAGCAGAGGGACCAUGAGAAGAGCAAAACACCACAAAAGUCAACCAAUAAGAUGGACGGGAACCAAACACCUUUAAUCAAGAUGAAAAGCGAGGAGAUAAGACAACGAACACCAAAUAACAACAGCCCAACAAAUGAUCCCAUAAAACCACCAUCACGAGCAGCAAGAAAACUUGAGCUGUAAAUAAAUAUUUACUCAUAUAUGCUUAGAAGUAUAUAAUCAUGUGUAGAUUGAAAGAAUGUCUCAUCCUAGGAGGUCUGUUGAAGAGGGGGGUGCGUUCACUCCUCUACAGAGUGUUCUGGCAUAGAUCACACACCUCCUAGGAGAGGUCGUAUCUUCUCUUGCUGAUAUAUGGUAUAGCAUGUAUAUCUGUUUGAGUGUAAGAGCCUUUUGUGUGACCUAAUUAUUUGUCAUGUCACAUUUUUUGUUCUAUUUGAAGCACAACUGUAUUAAAUUGUAUUGAUUAACAGCAGCAACAUGUUGUAACAGUAGAGAGCUGUUGCUCGUUAAAACGAGUGCUGCAGCAUUUUUAUCAGGAUGAGUUUUGGACUUUGGUCGUUGCAAAUUUGAUUCUUUUAAGUAUUUCGCACCUUAAGUGAACACUGUUGUGGACUACAUUUUUUAUUAGCACUUUUUAAUAUUUUUGUUAUCUUCUUUUGAACACCACACUAAAAAACUGCAUUACUGUAACUUUCCAUUUUUACAUUGACAAUGAAGCUGUUGAACCUUGAAUUGUGUGUUGACACAUAUUUGUUAGUGUAGGUUUUUAUUGUAAUGGUUGAAGCACUUUUAACAUUUUAAUUUCAAAAUCAUUGAUUAUGAUAAAUGAUCACACGGCAAUCUUAAUGUUUGGGUUUCUUUUUCUAGGUUUGGAUGAAAAAUCUGGAUCCAUCACUAGAGAGUUUAGUAUGUUUGCUUUCACAUAUUUAUAAAUUCCUGUUCAGUCUGUUUUACCUUUAUAGUGCUUGACUUUAUUACAUCUUUCUCAGUCUUUUUCUUAAGAUAUUCAUAAUCGCGUCUGUGGUUGUGGCCUGUGUUACUGCACGUAACUGUUUAAUGUCCAAAAUAAAUAAAUAAA